UCGAGAAUUUUUCACAAUGGGCGAAAGCCUGAUGGAGCGACGCCGCGUGGGGGAUGAAUGGCUUCGGCCCGUAAACCCCUGUCAUUCGCGAGCAAACGUUAUUAUUUAAAAGAUGAUAGCCUGAUAGUAGCGAAAGAGGAAGGGACGGCUAACUCUGUGCCAGCAGCCGCGGUAAUACAGAGGUCCCAAGCGUUGUUCGGAUUUACUGGGCGUAAAGGGUGCGUAGGUGGUGGGGUAAGUCGGAUGUGAAAUCUCCGAGCUCAACUCGGAAAGUGCAUUGGAGACUAGCCUGAUCGAGGGUUGGAGGGGGGAAUGGAAUACUUGGUGUAGCAGUGAAAUGCGUAGAUAUCAAGUGGAACACCAGGGGCGAAGGCGAGUCCCUGGACAAC
rnacentral:rRNA from 1 species